GACGAACGCUGGCGGCGUGCUUAACACAUGCAAGUCGAGCGGUAAGGCCCUUUCGGGGGUACGACGAGCGGCGAACGGGUGAGUAACACGUGGGUGACCUGCCCUCAGCUCUGGGAUAAGCCUGGGAAACCGGGUCUAAUACUGGAUAUGGCUCCAUGACGCAUGUUGUGGGGUGGAAAGCCUUGUGCGGCUGAGGAUGGGCCCGCGGCCUAUCAGCUUGUUGGGGGGUGAUGGCCUACCAAGGCGACGACGGGUAGCCGGCCUGAGAGGGCGACCGGCCACACUGGGACUGAGACACGGCCCAGACUCCUACGGGAGGCAGCAGUGGGGAAUCUUGCGCAAUGGGCGAAAGCCUGACGCAGCGACGCCGCGUGAGGGAUGACGGCCU
rnacentral:rRNA from 1 species